CUAGUAUACCAGUUAACAGUUUUCCUGCUUUUGAAUUCUUGCACUAGCUUCCAUUGAUAGAUAAUGGUUACAUUUUGGUGCUGCAACUCUUGUGGUAGCUAGUACAAGAGUUCAAAAGUAGUGAAGAUGUUAUUUGGAUACCAUAUA
rnacentral:pre_miRNA from 1 species